rnacentral:rRNA from 1 species
UACGUAGGGGGGCAAGCGUUGUCCGGAAUCAUUGGGCGUAAAGCGCGUGUAGGCGCCAGAAAAGUCCGCUGUGAAAACUCGAGGCUCAACUUCGAGCUGUCGGUGGAAACUUUCUGGCUAGAGUCCGGAAGAGGAGAAUGGAAUUCCUGGUGUAGCGGUGAAAUGCGCAGAUAUCAGGAAGAACACCCCGUGGCGAAGGCGGUUCUCUGGGACGGUACUGACGCUGAGACGCGAAAGCGUGGGGAGCGAACAGG